rnacentral:rRNA from 1 species
UACGAGGGGGGCGAGCGUUGUUCGGAAUUAUUGGGCGUAAAGGGUGCGUAGGCGGUUCCGCAAGUCCUGUGUGAAAUCUACAGGCUCAACUUGUAGUCUGCACGAGAAACUGCCGGGCUUGAGUAUGGGAGAGGUGAGUGGAAUUCCUGGUGUAGCGGUGAAAUGCGUAGAUAUCAGGAGGAACACCUGUGGCGAAAGCGGCUCACUGGACCAUAACUGACGCUGAUGCACGAAAGCUAGGGGAGCAAACAGG